AGAGUUUGAUCAUGGCUCAGAUUGAACGCUGGCGGCAUGCCUUACACAUGCAAGUCGAACGGCAGCACGGGAGCAAUCCUGGUGGCGAGUGGCGAACGGGUGAGUAAUACAUCGGAACGUGUCCUGGAGUGGGGGAUAGCCCGGCGAAAGCCGGAUUAAUACCGCAUACGCUCUGAGGAGGAAAGCGGGGGAUCUUUCGGGACCUCGCGCUCAAGGGGCGGCCGAUGGCAGAUUAGGUAGUUGGUGGGGUAAAGGCCUACCAAGCCGACGAUCUGUAGCUGGUCUGAGAGGACGACCAGCCACACUGGGACUGAGACACGGCCCAGACUCCUACGGGAGGCAGCAGUGGGGAAUUUUGGACAAUGGGCGCAAGCCUGAUCCAGCAAUGCCGCGUGUGUGAAGAAGGCCUUCGGGUUGUAAAGCACUUUUGUCCGGAAAGAAAACCUCUGGGUUAAUACCCCUGGGGGCUGACGGUACCGGAAGAAUAAGCACCGGCUAACUACGUGCCAGCAGCCGCGGUAAUACGUAGGGUGCGAGCGUUAAUCGGAAUUACUGGGCGUAAAGCGUGCGCAGGCGGUGAUGUAAGACCGAUGUGAAAUCCCCGGGCUUAACCUGGGAACUGCAUUGGUGACUGCAUCGCUCGAGUAUGGCAGAGGGGGGUAGAAUUCCACGUGUAGCAGUGAAAUGCGUAGAGAUGUGGAGGAAUACCGAUGGCGAAGGCAGCCCCCUGGGUCAAUACUGACGCUCAUGCACGAAAGCGUGGGGAGCAAACAGGAUUAGAUACCCCUGUAGUCC
rnacentral:rRNA from 1 species